rnacentral:lncRNA from 1 species
AAAACAAAAAACUCAACAACUCAACUCCAAUAGGCAAGAGAAAGAAACUGAGAAUCACUCCAUAUUUCUUCAAAUUUUGGUUUCUUCUUGAGGGAAAUGGUUAUAUUUGCAAACUAAGUAUUUUAUAAAUGAGCAAACAAAUAUUUAUAUGUACAACAAAUAUGUAUAAGAUAUAACUGAUUCACUGGUACCAUAAGAUAAUUAUCGUAUACUCAAAAUUAAGUCUUGUUCUUGAUAUCGAGUAAUUGUAUUUAUCAAAAAAAAUUUACCAGUAUCAUAUCGGAUCUAUUAACUUCCAAACUGGCUAUAUUGAGCUACCCGAUUUCGAUAAUUUACCGAUUGUACCAAAAAAGUUGUACAACCCUAAUUAUUGCUCUACUAUCAUUCCUAUAAUCGCACUAGUAUUACUAAAUUUUUUACUCCUUUCGUUCCUAAAAGAUUGUCGUUUUAGAAGAAAAAAUUUGUUCUAAAAAGUUUGUCGUUUACAACUUUCGAGAAGAAUAAAAUAUUUAUUUUCCUAUAUUACCCCUACCUUCUCUCAUUAUCUCAAGAAAUUCUCUAUCUUUGUAUUAAUAGUUUUCAACUUCCCAUAAAGGGGUAGUGAUGAAAUUUCAAACAAAUUUUACUUGGUAAAUGAUACUUUCUUAAUCCAUGUGUCAAAAUUUUAAACGACAAUUUUUAAGAACGGAGGUAGUAGUUAAUAUUCUUAGUACAUAAAAGAGUUCUGUUGUGAUAAUUUUUUAUUGAAUUAUAAAUGUGAAAUAUGUUAAUACAUAAAAUUAAAUAUACAUAAAAAUAUAUUUUAUAUUUAUUUAUCCACGGAAUUAACAAUCAAAAAGUCUACACAAAAAUUUGCAAGAUAUAUCAUUUUUAGUACAUAGAAUACAUAAAAUUAUUCUUAAAAAAUACUCCCUCCUAUUCAUAUUAAGUGUCAUUUUGAAGAAUUUCAUUUUAUUCAAUAUAAGUGUCGUUUUGGAAUCCCUAUGCAAUAUUGAACUAUUUUUUCCUAAUUUACUCCUCUAUUUAAUAUGCUUAGUAAAUGCAAUUUCAUGGACCAUUGUGGAGAGAGAAAUAAAUAAUUAGGGAUACAAAAGAUAUUUUGUGUUAUUUCUUAAUAAAUGUGCUUAAUUCUAAAAAGACAUUUAAUAUGAAUGGGAGGGAGUAAAACAUUAAAAAGAGAAAUAAAAAACUAUUUAAUUUUAAAAAAAAAGAAUAUUCCAAAACUCACAAAUAAGCUUUCUUCUUCACUCUCCUAAAUUUUAUUUUCUCUUCCUUUUUUUUCCAUCACAAAUUCAGAAACACAGUGCAGUCAAAUACUAUCAUGGCCAUAGCAUUCGCGCUUCACAGGGAGUUCGCUAUUCAAAGGCACUUUUCUUUGUCUGUACUAAUACUUUGCUUCUAUUCCUCUCUUAUAUAUUUAUAUGUAUAAGACUAUAAGUAUAUAUAACAAGUACCAUUACAGAUAAUGUGCUAAGGGAAUGACAAGCUUUCUCCUCUUGCACUCCCAACGCCAUGAAAUGUUCACUAGGUAAGCCCUUUUGUUCCUUUUCGUGUUAAUUUUAUUAUCUCUUGCUAAUAAUUAAAAUUACCAGGAAAAGAAGAAUAAAUUGUUUGAUUUUGAAGCUUAAGUCUCAAUAGCUUGUUAUAAUUAGGUGUAAAUUGUUUAUAGGAGUGUGCUGCUGUGUAAAUUAUUGAUAUUGGUUUAUUGUAUUCUAUUGAUGAAUUGGUUAAUGUGAUGAAAGAAGGAUUGAAAAUCUUUAAACUAAAGGUUUCUUAUUGUUGUUGAGGGUAUUUGAGGGAUGUUUGAAAUUGCGAUAUAUUGACAGCUGAUCAAAUGGGUGCAAUUUUAAUUGAAUUUGGAAGAAAAGUUAUAGAACACUUGCAUUAUGAUCUUGUUGAAUUUAUGCAUUAAAAGUGAAACAUUUAAUUGCUAGCUGACGAUUGACCAGAGGAAUGGAUAUGGAGGUACUUUGGAAUUGGUUGGACAAUCCGAUUCAGCCUUUUCUAAUCGCAGGCUCGAUGAAUGUAAGUUUCAAGAUGAAAAUGGUUAUAGUGAGUUUGUAAAUAAAAGGUAGAAAUCUUAAGUUUCGAGAUGAAAAUGGAUAUCGUAAGUUUGUAAAUAAAAGGUAGUAAUCUCUUUUUUUGUUACAGUGCGAUUGUGGUUAAUGAUCUCAUGCUCUAAUAACUCGUAUGAUUGGUAGUGGAAUUUUCUGUCCAGUUGACUGCUAAUUAACCUAUUUUUACAAGUUGAUGUGCUUGAUGCAAUUUACUGCGGUUCUUAUCGAGUUCCCCUUGUUCAAUUUGCAUUUCUUGGGUGACAAAAUCUUAAAUUUCACAUUUAAUUAAAAACUCUCUUUAAAUUUUAAUUAAAUAAUCUAGAGAUGCAUCUUAAAGGUUCUUUUUAUAACAAGAAAGUAAAUAUUCCACAAUUCUUUUACUUCAGUUAAAAUUUGUGCUCUUAUUAAACAAAAGUCUACUUCGUCAUUAUCAGCCAAGUAAGUAAGUCUACUUCGUUAUUGAGUUUAUAAAAGAAAAGAAAACUUAAGUUUCACAUACAAAAUUACCUACUACCUAGAACGGUUACAUGUAAACAAUUUUUUGAUGCAAUGAACAGACGUAAAUAUAAGCUUUAUAAUCAAUGUAAUAUUUAUUGUUGCCUUUGAGUUUGAUUCUUCUGGUGUUGUAUUUCUCAAGGUACUUCCUCACCAUGCCUUUCUCUGAAGUAAUUGUCCAACAAGGUUGGAGGUAUGCUCUGCUGUGAAAGUAGACCAAACAAGUAUAAAAGAUUAGACACAAAGCUAGCAAGGAAAAUUAUGAAGGUUAAAGAAAAAUCAACUACUAACAAAUUUAGAUCAGUCAAUAGCAUAAUCUUGAGAUUCCCUCAGUUCAGAGAGGGACUGAAAGAGGUCAGAGGUAAAUUUGAACAGUGCGGUGAGUCUGAAAAAGUUUGCUUUCAUACUUUAUAUUCCCCCGUUCCAAAAUUAGAGAUAUAUUUUUCUUUUUUGUCUAGAGAUACAUUUAUGGUUUUAGACUAUAACUUUUAACAUACCAUUACUUUUAUUCUUAGUUAAUUGAGUACCGUCAUGCAGCCAUCACUACAUUUCUAGCUAGAUAAGUUUAGAAAAAUGAAUAUUUCCUUAAAAGUCAGCGUUUUACAAUGUAUCUCUAAUUAGCUUAGUCGGCGUUUUACAAAUGUAGCUCUCUAGUCCUCCUAGGGGUUUUCAUGGAGGAUUAGAGAAAACUGUUUAGCUCUUCUUUUUCUUCCUCUCUCAAUUAUAUUUUUUUUAUAAUUCGUUCCCCCCUGUAUAUGUCUGCUUCGCUACACAGAUGAAGAUUCAAAUGGAACUAUUGACCACAAGGAACUCAAGAAAUGCUUACAAAAAUUGAAUCUUCAACUUACAGAAGGGGAAAUUGUUGAUCUCUUCGAUUAUUGUGAUAUGGAUGGGCCUAAGGGGAUACAAUUUGAUGAGUUCAUUAUUCUUCUGUGUCUCAUUUAUCUCCUACUGGAUUCUUCAACCUCUUCUCAUGUAAUAUGUACAUUAUACCUUGUACUCUCAUCUUAUUUGGGUGAACAUCUGAUAGUCAAUUUAUUGUUCUCUUUAUGUUUCAGACAUUAGAGAUUGGUUCUCCGCAGCUCAAAACCACCUUUGAUGAUAUCAUUGAAGCAUUUAUGUUCCUUGAUAAAAAUGGUGAUGGAAAGCUGAACAAGAAAGACAUGGUCAAGUCAAUGAACGAUCCGUCUCACUUGGAAAGAUCACCUACCCAUGUCACAAGGAAUCGAUUCAGUACUAGUUUCACUUUCUAUACUUCGGCUUUACUUUCUAUACUUCUGCUGAUUACUUUUGGAAAGAUCCCCUACUCAUGUCACUAGGAAUAGAUUCAGUACUAGUUUCACUUUCCAUACUUCGGCUUCACUUUCUAUACUUCUGCUGAUUACUUUUUGCAAUUUAAUCUCCGAGAAGUUCUUAUUGACCUUUUUGUGAUUCUUGUGCUUAAAUGUAGAAGAAAUGGACUGGGACAGAAAUGGUCAGGUCAGCUUCAGGGAAUUCCUUUUUUCUUUGAUCAAAUGGAUUGGAAUUGGCAGUGAUGAAGGAAACCUAGAAGUGGAAGUUGAGCAGAGUGAGUAGAGUACAGCAAUGACUGUGUCGAGGUAAACAAUCUGAAAUGCAGUCAGAUUGAUAUGUAAUGUGUGUAUCUAUAGAGUUAUACUAUGGAAAUGUUGCUAUUAUUUCAUGUUUGAUCCUGAAAUGCAGUCAGAUUGAUAUGUGUAAUGUGUGUAUCUAUAGAGUUAUAAUAUGGAAAUGUUGCAAUUAUCUGGGCUACACUUAUUUAUGAUCAUUACCUUUAUUCUUUUAAUAUUUCAUUUUUAUUCUAUCUAUAUAUCAUGUUCAAAACCUUCUAGUGGUCAAUGUGGUAAUUCUGCUAUAGUUAAAAUUAACAUAUCACCAUAAGAUGGUAGUUAUAUACAUCUCAAGGCAUAUAUUUCUCUUGCUGUGUAUUUCACAAAACAAAAACACUAUACAAAUUUUAAAGAAAGUUGAUAUAGAAAUCCCACAAAAAUUAAAAUGGACCCUCAAGCUAUUAGACAAUAUCCAGCAAAAAGUAUCUAUUGUAUGUCAUUGCAGCUGAGAUUUUAUUGUAUCCCUAGUCCUUGGAUCCCCUUAAUCAGUGACAAUGAUGAAGAGUUUUUUCGCUUCCACUCUCCCCUUGUCUCCUUCUUUUGUCCUUCUUCCAUGAAACAUCUGUCAUACCCAUCAAGUAUGCUUACAAUUUUCCUGAUGCUUGGUCUUAGCUUUGGGUCAGAGCGAGUGCAAGCCAUUCCUAAUUUCACCAGCCUCACUAGUUCCUUGUGAUUGUACUGUCCAUCCAACCUCCAAUCUGCCAAUUCCUCAUAUCUCCUCUUUCGUACCUCAAAUUCAUGCACUCUCUUAACCAAUAGUACCUCAGGCCGGCUGAAAUCAACGGUCAUCUGUCCACUAACCACCUCAAGCACCACCACGCCAAAGCUAUAAAUAUCAGUCAUUGGUGUUGCUUCUCCACCUUCCAUAAACUCCGGGGGCAUGUAACCAAACAUUCCUUGGAAAGGACAUUUUUUGUCAGUAACAACUUUAUACUCUUGUGCAUCUCUUGUUAAGAAUUCAGCGAGGGCAAAGCAACCAAGCUUUGGGUUCAUGUCUGAAUCAAGAAUAAUCGAUGAAGAGGUAAUGUUUUUAUGAAUUACCUGCUCGUCCCAUUCUUCAUGGAGAUAACAAACUGCAGAAGCAAGUGAUUUGACUAUGUUGUAUCGUUGAUGCCAUUUCAGGAUUGGAUGCCCACUUCUAUCAUCUGGAUGGAACAAGGGGUGACUUAAAAGACGAGUUGCCGAGUAAUCAUACAAGACUAGCAUCUCUCCUUGCUCGGUGCACCACCCGCGAAGCUGCACCAGGUUCCGGUGUCUCAGCUUUCCUAAAUUCUGGAGUUCAUUUGUGAAGCGUGACCGCAAUUCAGCGCAAUUAUUCAUGCCUAGUCUCUUCACUAGGACAUGGUUAUGGUUGUCAAGUAUGCCAUGGUAAGCAGUUCCAAAACCUGCUUCAGCUAUCUUCCGGGAAUCUGCAAAGUUGUUUGUUGCUGACAAGAUUUCCUUGAAGCUUAUUUCAUGUGGAAUGUUGAUCCUGGGGAAAGCCUUUGAGAGGCGGUGGGGGUUCUUGUCUAAGGGGCUAACAUUGCCAUUUCCAUUUUCAGUAGUUGAAUAUAAGGUUUCUCCAUUGCCUGUGAAAAAGGUAGUUGAAUUGGUUGAGACCGAUUCAGUCGUGGUGGUAGUGGUGGUGGAUGAUGAUCUUGUGGCGGUUAUGUUGCUAGUAUCACUGCUGCUUGGUGAAGAUACAGAGAUAUAGUUGGGCUGAUCUUUAAAUGAUGGAAGAUCUGGCAAUUUGGCACAAAGAUUGCCAGAAAGUACUUCCAAAACCCAUUUCAUGUUUGGCCUUAAUUGUGGAUCAUGAAGUGUACAUAAGAGCCCCAGAUGGAUCAAUCUUCCCAUAUCAGAAAGCUUGUAAGAUCCUGAUGGAAGCCGAUUAUCCCCAGCCUGCAAAACCAUUCCUGCAUCGGAUAGCCUCCGUAUCCAAUCAAGCAAAACAAUUUGAUCAUCUUGGUACGUGAGAUCCACUGCCCUCCGGCCUGAGACAAUCUCGAGCACAACAACCCCAAAGCUGAAAACAUCAGAUUUCGCAGUGGCAGCACCCCGUCUCUGGAAAUUCUCCGGUGGUAAGUACCCAAUUGUUCCUCCAAUUUUGGUAGUUUCCACCAAUCUAAACUGCUGGUGGUGGUACUUUAUAGAUGGUGUCCUAAUUUGAUAGUCAAGUUCGUGUUCUAGCCACCUGGCUAAUCCAAAAUCCCCUAGUUUUGCAUUAUAAUCCGAAUCCAGCAUCACAUUGCUUGUCUUCACAUCCCUAUGUAUGAUCUGAGUCUCCAAUUUCUCAUGAAGAUAAUUCAACGCAGCUGCCAAACCAUUAACAAUCUUUACCCUACGACCCCAAUCAAGGGCGGUGGACCACACUUUUUCCGACUGCCUGAAAAGUAUCCGGUCAAGGCUGCUAUUAGGCAUGUAGUCAUACACAAGAAGCAACUGGUCAUCAUAAACACACCACCCACGGAGGCUGACAAGAUUCCGGUGGCGGAGAUGAGUCAUCGCCACAAGCUCCGCCGCAAACGUCUUUUGAAACCGCUCCCCCUUCUCCGCCAAACAUUUCACCGCAACCACCGUUCCAUCACUAGGUAAAACCGCUCUAUACACCCUCCCAAACCCUCCACUUCCAAGAAUUUCAUCCUUGCUGAACCCCUUUGAGCCUAUGUAGAGUUCUGCAUAGCUAAACGUUCUUGGAUUAUUGGCACCAAUCUUUUGCAGAAUUUGAACUCCCUCCGUGUCAUGAAACAGACCUGAGGGUUGUUUUCUUGGCACUUCAUGGCUGCGAAAAGUCAACCAUUUGAAUUCAAAGAAAUUGUAGAGGGAGUUGUGGAAGAAUUCAAGAACUAAAGCACCACGGUGGCGGUGUGGAGCCUGUGGACUAUGUGGUACUUGUUGUUUUGUUGGUGUUUGUAGUUGGAUCUGAUUUUCCGGCUCGACUUCAUCAUCAUCAAAGUCUGCCGGUAAAACAAAACAAAGCUGGUGGUUCAGUGGCAUGGUGUUGGUGGUUUGAAUGACAUUAGUUGUAAAUGAAAGAAAAUGUGAACAAAGGUGUCUAUAUAUGUUGAGCGAUAGAAUAUAGAUGUUGAGUAAUUUUCUUUUGGUGUUUUUUACUCCAACGCGGUUAGGUUGUAUUGGUUGAAUUGAAUGGGAAAAGGGAGUGCAAAUUGGCCAACCUUGUCAUGAUCCACCUCUAAAAGCAAUGAAAUGAAGAUUAUUUAUUAGUAUUACACAGCUCAGCUUUUGGAAGCUUCCAAGUCUUGACUUCUUGGAAACUUUUAACUGUCAAGUUUCUGGUCUACUUCACCUAUGUGUAUGUAGUACUCCUAGUAUCUUUAAUUUUAGCUCUCUGUGUUUUUAUUGUUGUGUGAUUAUGUCACUGCUUGUGUCAAAAAGUUACUAAAUAAGUGAUUCUUUUUUGUGAAUUUAGGCUUAAUGGAAAGUGGUUUUUUUUUUGUUGUUAGAAACUGAUAUUUUUAUGUGUUUUUGAUAUUUUCAGUCUUCUCUCACAUGAGCAGAAAGUGAGUCACACCUUCGUGUGAGGGCAUACCAUGUAGAAAUAUCAAAAUUUCAUGUAGAAAUAAUGCUCUCCUUUUGUUAUUUUUGUAAUCUUUCGUCUUUUUAGAUUAUUUUUUUUCAUCUUUUUUAUUUUAUUUGUAGAUUUAAAACAAGAAUUAAGCAGUUAGUUUUCAUAUUAUCUUUAAGCAUUAUAUUCAAAAAUGUGUUUCUCUCUCAUAUUUUAAAAUAAUUUACUUCAAUAGGAUAACUUUUCUUAUUAACUAUCUAUUAAUAUAUUUUGAUAAUUACUAACAAAAUUAUUAAGAUUAAAUAAUUAAUAUAUUUAAUGAAAUUAAAAAUAAUAUGAAAUAGAGGAGAGUACCUAAAAUUUUAUAAUUAAGGUGGUGUUUGAUAAAACUGAGUAAUUAAGAUCUGAAUUAUUAAUACAUCUUAAUAAAUUAGAUAAUUUGAAUAAAAUAACAUCUGAAUCUAAAAAAUUGCUUGAUAACUAAGGAGUUGUUUGAUAAAAACUGAAUGAAAUGAAAAUUUGAAUGAAACUGAAUACUGAAUGAAAAAAGUUGUUUGAUAAUUGACAUGUCUAAAACAUCUAAAUAACGGAUUUUUAUUAUUUUACCCAUAUGAAAAAAUUCAAAAUUAUUAUAAAUUUAUUUAAUAUUACUUAAUAUAAUAGUUAAUAUUUUUUUUUAAAUACUUCAUUCAGUCGUUAUUUAGCCACAAAAAUAACACUAAAUCAUUCAUCCCAAAUCGUCUGAAUGGCUGAUCGAUUCAGUCAUUCAGACUAUUUUUUUUCAAAACAAACGUACUGAAUGACUGACCGAUUCAACCAUUCAACCAUUCAGUACGUAACAAACAACCCCUAAAAAGUGUAAAAUAUCUAAAUGACACUAAUUUACCAUUUUAACCCUCUGAGUUAUUUUAAAAUUUUAUUUGAAUGAUCUUAAAAUUUGAAAUUAAAGUAGUACAAUAUUUAUUGAGACUAUUUUUGUCCAUAAAUUUUAAAUAAAUGAUUAAGAGACGGCUCUUAAUAUUUAAAUCUUAACAAUAAGAGACAUUAAAAAACAACAUUUUUUUACUAAAUAAAAUUUACCUCUGACCAAAUCAGAGAUAAAUAAAUUAAGAGAAAUUCAGACACAAACAAACAAACAUUACCUUAGCCAACCACGUGAUGCUUACGGGAAUGACCAGGAAAACCGUGACGAGCAUGAGUGUGGGCCGUGUGGUUGCUACGCUAGGGAAUAUGUAAAAGAAGAAAAAUAGAAUAUUAAACAAUUGAUCGCAUUCUAAUAUUCAAUAUUUUAGACUAUAAAAUAUAAGAUAAUUGAGUUAAUUUAAGAUAUUUAAAAUUAGUAUAAAAGUUUUCUAAUUUUAACUAUUAAAAGUUUUUAAUUGACUUUUGAAAAAUUACUAAUAAUCUUAUUUUUUUUUAUCGAAAAAAUACCUAAUAUUAGCAAGUAUCUUGUAAUAAAUUUACUUUUGAAAAAUUACUAAUAAUCUUAUAUUUUUGAUCGAAAAAAAUACCUAAUAUUAACAAGUAUCUUAUAAUAAAUAAAAAAAGCUAGUUGGAUCAGUGCUUUCAACACGGUCGACUGCAAGCCUCAUUGAUUCUUUGAACGUACAUGUCAAUUUUCGAAUUACACAGGAUCGUGGUAACACCUUCUUUCAUCAAGUCCACUGAACAUAAGACAUUUAUCGGUGUACAACCAAAGAUGAAAAACUCAAUUUUGUACAAAUGUUAGAGGUUAAAAUUAUUCUUACCUAUGAACCCCAUUGUAUUAAAACGCCAACCCCAUCAAACCUCAAGAUUAGGUUGAAUGGGAUUGUCAACAUAGGAUACAGAGUCUAGAGAUAACAUUUUCUUUGUUAUGAGCUUUGCUGGUUUGUUGUAGUUUUUGAAAUGUCAAAUUUUUACCUUUCUCAAAAAUGCAUUAACAUGUAACAAAACAAUACAUUGAAGUAAAAAAAACAAAUUAGAAAUUUUGUUUCAACUUUCUCUUACUUGUUUCCUUAUAUGCCAACUAUGAAGAAUCACCUAGAUCAAAGUCACCAAACCAUAUAUCAAAAAUAUACUCAAAUGAACCUUACAACUUACCUAAACUGAAGAAAACAUAACAAAGAAAUGUAGCAGUGUACCUUUUAAUUCCUCCACAGAGAAGCAAAGGUGUCAUAUAUACAUGCUCUAAACACCAACUCUUCUGUAAGUGGUGCCUGUUUGAUUAAGUAAAAUUCUCAAAGUUUAAAUAACAACCAAAACGAUAACUGGCAACUUGUCAAUAACAAUCAGUGAAAUUAAAAACUUGUAAUCCAUGUGAAAAGUUUAAGGAAGGGAAGAAGACAAAACUUCUGAUUUACUUUCCUCUUUAAGUAUCCUAAACCAAUUUAUUACUAAUUUGAUCACCACCACUUGUAUUGAUUGAUGGGUUAUCAAACUGUUUUCAUGGAGUUAUAAUUCUCACAAUAAUAAGAUAAUAAGUGAAGGUAGAAGUUAUAUUUUUUGUUAUAUUUAACAAAUUAUUAAUUAUAGGAGAAUUAUAACGAAUAUAUGGAAAUUGAUAUUUCUACACGCUAGAGUUUUUAAUAUUUUUACCCGUAAAACCCAUAUUUUUAACCAUAAUUUAAUUAAAAAAUGAACUCUACACGUGUAAAUAUGAAAAACUAUUUUGAAUUUAUCCAUUUCCGAAAUUACAUGCGGAUACAAUAAGAAUAAACGAAGUUUAUAAAGUAAAACUAGAAGAAUAAGAAGAAGAUAUAUAUAGUUGGAUGGAGUUUGACAGUCAAUACUCCACAUGCAACGUACCAAGUGCCUUCUUGGAAGCUCAGUAUGCCACAUAUUAUUCCACACUCCAAUCUCAGUUUUUCUGGUCUUGGUCUCGGACUCAAAACAAUAUUCAAAUUAUAUAUAUAUAUAUAUAUAUAUAUAUAUGUUCCCUCUUACCUGAAUAGUGAGCGAGACUCACUUCUAUAUGUAAAAAUAUUAUUUUAAUAUGUAAAAAUAUUAAUUUCCUUUGUAUAUUUUAUAUCGUGAAUGUUGAUAAGCUUGUAGCUUUCUUUUCAUGUUUCAUCAUGCAAUCAUGUUUCCCUAUUGAUUAAGCUCAAGAUCGAGUCCUUAUUUAUGGAUAAGAGUACUAAUAAUUGUUCGUGCAUAAAGACACGAUGUAACAAAAUCUUUCAUCUCUCUGUUUCAACAAUCUGAAAAUUAGAAUAAAUCUAAAUCGUCAUUGUGCUUUCCCGCCCAAAUUAAUUAAAAUGAAUUUGAAUCGUUCUUGUGUUUUUCCUUCUAAAUUCAAAUUUGAUUAUAUCUUAUUAUUACAAAUAUACUCCUUUGGUCCUUCCUUUCCAAAAUAAGGGUUCCAUUAAAAAGAAUUAUAUUUUUAUUGACUUUUUAAUAUCAAUUUUAUAUGUAUGCGAAAACACUUAAAAACUACUUUAAUCUAUAUAUUAAUAACCUUUAACCUUUUAUAGUGGAGUACUACUACUACUACUACUACUACUACAUAAGAGUAAUUAGUAGUCCUUCGAUUGUAGGAAAAGCCAAAUCAUUCAUAUACACCAAUUAGUUAGCAGUCUCCAGGUUUGCCUUUUUUGCUUUUUAAACUUGUUUAACUUACUUAUUAUUCUAAUGCCCACCUUGAGUUCAUCAUUACUACAUCAUCAUCAUCAUAUAAAUUGUUUAGAAACUUUAAUAUAUACAUAUAAGAAUAAAUAAAUGGCAAAUGAAAUACUAUUCACGGAAUAAGAUUAAACGGCAGGGAGUGCAUAAUUGUCAAAUUCCCAUGUGCCUUUUUGGGCUUUAAUUUGGCCGUUGACGCUCAACCACUACAAAUAUCAAUUGGAGUACGUACGUAAUUCACCAUUUUUCCUUAAAUAAAUGCAAUUUUCAAAUAAUAAUUCCCCAUUUAUUGUAUUUUAGCCAAAAAAUUAAAAUAAAAUAAAAAAUNNNNNNNNNNNNNNNNNNNNNNNNNNNNNNNNNNNNNNNNNNNNNNNNNNNNNNNNNNNNNNNNNNNNNNNNNNNNNNNNNNNNNNNNNNNNNNNNNNNNUCCACCAAAAAAACCAUCAUUUCAUACCCAAAAUCAUCAUAACCAUGUAUAAUUAGCUAACUUUACAAAAAGACGAAACACAAAAUACAUGCAUGCAGAAAAUAGAGAAACAACAUGUUGAGCAUAAGACCUUUUACUUUAUAGCUUACACCAAGUAUAUUCUUUACAGCUUACACCAUGUAUCCUUCAAUAUAUACCUGAAAAUAUUUAAAAUUUAAAAAUUAUCGAAAUAUGUGAGUCAAAAUAAAAUAAUUAUAAAUCCGUAACAUAAGACCCCUUACUUUACCCUGGAUUAUCUAAAAAACAAAUGAGAACACAUAUUUGUAUGUAGGGGGAAUGAUUUAGAUUGAUAUAAGUAAGAAUUUAGAGAGAUUGUAACAAAUAAUCAAUUUAUUUAGGAAAAGAUAUGGACUUACAAUCAAAUAAAAUUUUCUUAGUACCAUUUCAACAAACGGUUAAUUUGGUUAAUGAUUUAAAUCAUAAAUCUGUAUUGGUGGCAGUAUAAUGGGGUGGGUGGGUGGGUGUGCUACUGCUGUGAAAGAGAUAGACAGAGAUUAAACACCCAUUGUAAAAAAAAAAAAUUUAAAUCACCCAAAGUUAAACUGAAGCUGUCGUCAACUUUAUAAGAAGACUUAUGAUGAAAUAAAUAAGAAUUUUUAACUGAAGCUAUUCGAAAAUUUAAGUUAAAGAUUUCAAGGUAUAACUGAUACUAAUAAUUGAUUCACUUGAUAAAAAAUUCAUGAUAAAAAUAAUUUUAAUUUAAACCACAACUCAGUUGAUUCGUAAAUUUAAACCAAUCUACUGAAAUUAAAAAACAUCAAGAUUAAAAAUUUUAAAAAAGAAAAAAGAAACUAUUUACAACUUACAUAAUAUAAGUACCAAUUUGUCCUAACUCCUAAUGAAAGAUUUAAAAAAACAUCCAAAAAGUUCCCAUGAACAACAACCGAGAAGAAAAAUUAAAUCCAUAAUCACGUAUUAAACCUCAUUCAAGUAACAUAUUUGCGAUUUCUUCAAAAAGAAUAACCGAGAAGAAAAAUUAAAUCCAUAAUCACGUAUUAAACCUCAUUCAAGUAACAUAUUUGCGAUUUCUUCAAAAAGAAUAACCGAGAAGAAAAAUAAAUCUAUAAUCACGCAUUAACCCCAUAAAAGUUGAACAAAAAACUAAACCCAUCCAAAUUGGAACCUCGAUCCACCGAAAUGAAUUCAAUAUACAAAACCCGGAGUCAUUCAACCUUUAAAAAACCACCAUUUUAAUCAAUAGUUCAGCAAACUCAUUCAAUAAAAAGAAAACGAUAAAAAGCAAAGAAUAAGAUAAACUACUUUUGCCUUCUCACAAAGGUGUUUGCUUCUAAAUCUUUUCACAAUAACAAAUUAAAAAAAUCUAAUUCUACCACUUAGUUUAAAAUCCAAUUUGAAUCUUUUACCACAAACUUUUAUGUAAAACAUUUAAAAAUGUAACUUUUAUGUAAAACAUUUAAAAAUGUAACUUUUAUGUAAAACAUUCAUCAAAAACAGGGGGAAUAAAACAUGGUUUUCAACCACAUAUGAGUAUUGAAGGUACUCAUUUUAAUAAAGCUUUUAAUACUCAUUUUUUGCACCUCCCCUACAAAAGGCUAUUUUAUUGAAGGUACUUUGAAGACUGGUGAUAUAAAAGGCUAUUUAAAUUUUCAAAUUACACUUUAUAAGACCUCAACCCGGAGUUCUUUUUAAGGUUAGGUAUUUAUAACAAUUUUUCGUUACGUCGUGUCUUACUCUCCUUAAACUAUAAAGUAUUUUUUCAAAAAUAUAACCAUCCAAAAUCUUUCGUUCCCAAGCAUCACCAAAAUUAAGUCAUUUUUUUCUACUUUUUAGUGCUCCAAAGUCAGUAUAAGUCAUCACCAAAAUCAAGUCAAUGAAAUAAAUUGCAAAUAAGACCAGGGCAGUCAUUAACACCAUGUAUUCAGGGCUUCAUUUUCAGGGCAGGGCUUACAGAAGCAGAGCAGUAAUAUCCAGGCAGUGAAGGAAUUCCUUCAAGAAUGCCACUAACUUCUAGUUUUAGUCCCUUCUAGUUAUACAAACUUGUUUACAUUCAUGGUGAAUAGAGAAAUUAGAUUACACAACUUUGGUUAUUUAGUCAUCUACAGGGCAUUCAACAGGGCAUUUAACAUUAAUUUAAGAAUUGAGCCAGAACUGUAAUGGAGGGUAUUGAUUAUCAUUGUUUCUCUCUCUCAAUCAUCUAUAAGUUUGUUAGAUAUUAGAGGUUGAGUGUUUUGUUGAAAGAUUAAUUUGGUUUGCAAAAGUUAAUGGGUGGAUUUUAGCAGAUUAACUAACGAAUCGAACCUAUUACCGACCUAGUAUGCUCAUUAAACUUUUUAUGUAAUGUACUACUCAAACAUCAAACAUGUAAUGGUAUUGAGUGAAGAAACGGAAUCAGACAUCAAUUAAUUAGUGAAUUCCAUGUAAUGGUAUUUCUCUCAACCAUUUCAUCAAAUACACAUUAUGUAUAAUCCAUUCCACUAAAAUUUGCAUAAGUCGAUGAAUUUAUUACCUGGGAAGGCGUCAAUUUGAAUACCAAAUUAGGCUAAGAACCCAUGGACUGACAAAUCAUUAGAUCUUCAGAAAUCUUGAAAUGCUCCAUGUCCGGCAGCUUGGGAACUGAGCAAUAUUUAUCCAAAAUACAAAGUUUGUAAAUUCUUAAGGCUUGCCAAUAAAUACAAAUAGCAAUCAAAACAAAGAAAAAUGUGUCAUCCCUAAAUGAGAAAAACUAUUUUCCAGUAAAUUUUUCUUUCGGCCAAAUGAAAAAGACAACAUGGAAAAGUUAUUUCCAAAAUCACAUUUGUUAAUAACAGAAUCAUAAGCUUACAAAGUUGAUUUAGCAAUCACAAUGAUAACAUUUUCCUAAGAAAAUUAAAUUCUCCUCCUUAGUUGGAGUUAUAAACAUCUAGGACAAAAAUACAAAAUUUGCUCAAGUCACUAAAAUCAUACCUCAAUAAACUAUUUAAUCAUCAUAAAAAAAUUAUUCAAAGUAAUUAGAGACAAUUAAACUACUUACAACACAUGAACCAUGUAUACAAACAAUAAACAAAUUAAACAUCUCUCAUUACCUUUUGAUAAUUAUUCUCGCAAAGAGAUGAGACAUGUUCAAGAGAGUUAUUGGAUAAACUCCACGGCUUCCUAUCAAGCGACGCCGUCGUUAUCGCACCGACGAAUCGUUGCUACGUCGGCGGGAGUAGGAGAGAGAGAGAUGACUGCGACCGAGGCCAAGGCCACUUCAGUUAACCAACAUUAUCAUAAAUAAACUUACCCACCACAAUAUACCAACAUUUACAGUUUAUUUAGAAGCUAAAACAGUAAAAGAGAUAAUGAAGGUUGAUAUUGUCACAACUCUGCAACAAAAAUGCAAAUAUAUAUUUUUAUAAUUAUUCUAACGACAUUUAACACUUUGUGCUACACUUGUUGCUCUGACACCAUAUGUUUACUCAACAACUUAAUUAAAACCCAUCAAAAUUUAAGGAUGAAAGCCAAUCAGAAUCUUAAACAAUCCGACAAGAUCUAAGGUUGAUAGGGAGUCCCUCGUAUUUAAAGUAGGUGGGGGAACUUGCAGCAUGCAGUUGUACUAUAUGAAGCCUACCCUACAUCAAUUAGAAGUAAUCUCUCUAUAACCAAACUUUUGCAAAAGUUAUCACCACUGCUUACAUGAUUAUCACAUGUUUGAUAUAAUAUGAAAUCAAUCAUAAUGAAAAAAUUAACAUUAUUAAGAUAAGCUAAUUUGAUAAAAACGGGUAUGAAUAUCAGGAGGCUUCUGAUUAGAAAUUCUUCGUCUUUCUCAUAUGAAAAUCAAGAAACCUAUUCUAUCCUAUUUCUAAAGGGAGGGGGAAUGAGACAGAUAUGAACCCAAUCCUACAUGUUUAUAUUCAAGUAUAAAUUGUGUUUAGGUGUUCAUAUUGGAUAUUCAUUAGUUGAGUGUAUAUAUGAUUGAUGGGUUUAUGAUUGAUAACUAUAAACUUGUAUUAUCUCUUUUCAUAAUAAUUUUUUUUUCUUCUCGAUUGAUAAGUAACCUAUAUAUAUAUAUUUUUUACUUGGGUUCUUCCAUUACAUCGUUGGAGUUCCGUCCCAGUUUUUAAAUGAUUAGCAGUAUGGCUUUUUGUUUCAUAUGCUAUGCAGCUUAAUUUGCAGGCGUACUCGCCAAUUUCUGAGAUAAGUAGACGUGUUGUUAGUAGACAUUACAUGGUAGGAUGAAGUGUAAAUUUUGUGAAGUUAGAACAUAGGCAAACAGGGCUUUAUGUGAAGUUAGGGAAAGUAAACCUACUUCUUCGAAGCAUAUAGAAACCAAAAUUUUAAUGGGUAAUAAAUAAAGGAACACACUUUAUGCAGUCCAAUUCCAAAAGUAAACCAAAUUAACUAACAAAAUACAAAAAGAAUAGAUCAAUCAGCUAAAAAAGAAAUUUAAACUAUGAACUAUAUAAAACAACAUCAAGCAUAAACUUUUAUGUUCAAAUCCAACAUCCAACAUAUACACAUAUAAAUACCUCAAAGAGAAAAAAAAACAAAAAAGAAAAUGUUAGGGUUGCAAAGUGCGGCAACCAUAAUACCAUAAUGCGAAAAUUGAUAAAAUUGGUGGCUUUAACUGUGCUCCAAAAAAGGUAUUUAGGUCAUGCUAUAUGGAAAACAAAAAAUUGAACAUCUUUCUAUCGUCUUAUUCCGCAUAUCCUUGUCUUUCCUAUUCACCUUUUUAAUUUAUCCUUCGUAAUCCACACAAACCAUUUUUCUUUGUUAUCUUCCCAAUAAAUAAAUCCUUUGUAGUGUGAUUUCACAAACCUUUUUUCUUUGUUAGGCCAAGUAUUCAAUCCUUUGUAGUGUGAUUUCACAAACCAUUUUUCUUUGUUAUCUUCCCAAUAAACAAUUCAAAAAUACCAGCCAAUUCCCUCCCUCCACCUUGUUUCCACUAUUUGUAGAGCUAUAACUCGAAAAAGCAUCACAUUUAUCUGUAACAGAAAUUCAAAUACACAAUCACAUUCUCAAAAUCCCCAGAAGGUGCUUCAAAAUCUAAAGCACUGAAAAGCUCAAAGGAAGAGAUAGUGGAGAAAGAGGCUAAAGAACCAAAGACUUGUGACUAUUGUCUGAAAUUCAAGACUGAGGUGGCAGGACCCAAUGUGUUGUUUUAUGGAUAAUCUUGUCAUUUUAAUUACUGUAUUUGAGAAUGAAGCACACGAGUACAUAAUAUAUCUAAAAAAGGAAAUUACAGUAGCAAGUACGUGAAACAUAAGAAAUAAUCUUGAAUUUCAGACAUCCACAUUGAAUUGAGCAUCUCCACUCUCAAAAGUUAUGCGGUUAUGCCUAACAAAUUGAAUAUGCCAAUAGUCUAUUUAAGCAUCAGUUCUAAAUUAGUAACACCACUAAAUUCUGGUUGAACAUUUUUAUGUUAUUUUUGUAUCCUUAGAUUCAGUAGUGUAUAAUACUUGAAGUUACCUGAGAAAAAAACUCAUGUUCAAUUUGGAUGGAAGUAGUGUAUAAUACUUGAUGUUACUUAAGAAAUGACACAGAUAUUGUGAAUUCACCUUUUAAUAUGAUGAUAACUAAACAAUCUGACUAUAUACACCAAUAGCAACUGCAAACAAAACAAAUAAACAGUUAAUAAUGAGUAUAUACAAUUCAAUCAAAACAACUAAGAACCCAUAAUAAAUCUUAAUGGGAUUAAAUUUUAUGCACCUUAUAAUGAUCAACGUUGAAAGAUCAUACUGUUGCAAUGGCAGAAGCAGCAUAGAACAUCAUGCACAGAAUUGAAUGAAGGAGAAAUAUCAACAAACUGACAAAAGUUACAUUUGGAAAAGACGCGAUUAAUGAUAAUAGUGAGAUGAAAUUAAUCUACCUGGGAUUUUUCCAAGUGAAAAUUGAAGUAACAUAUAACAGGGAGAAAAUCUGAUCACCAUUUUCUCAUUUUCUGACAAUAAAAUUGACCCACUUCAAAAAAACUCAAACCCAAAUCCUAAAUUUCUCAGAUUCAACUCUAUGGCUCUGGAAAAAAAUUAAAAAAGAGUAAAUUUCUCUGGUGGGUAUGGGUGAAAGUGCAGAGGGAGAGGAGAUAGAGAAAAAGAACCUUGAUUUUUGUUGUCGCCGACUUGUUUUUAGAAAGAUGACCCCUGCAAGUGAUCGAAAACGAAGAAUCUUGAUUUUGGGGAACUUUCUCUCUCCAAGAAAUGAAGGAAAUGCCAAGCGGAAUGAGAAGGGGGCAAAGCUGUAAGGCGGGACUUGGGUAGACUUUAGGGGAUUUUUGAAUUGGGCUUUUUUAUUUUUUGUUUGACUGGAAUGAAAUAACAGCCAUUAGAGCCAUUAGAUUAAAUCUGAGCCAUUGGAUGAUGAAAUUUUAAUCGAAACCGUUCUUUGUUGAAGCCGCUCUGUUUUAUUAUAUAGGUUAAGUAUAAGGAAGGAAUGGAAAAAAAAAGGGUUGUACAGACUAUAUAAUUUUAUUUUUUAUAUAUAUUCAAAUGACACCUAAAUUAUUAUUUUUUUUGUAAAAAAUUUAAUUUUAAUAAAUCACAUUAAUUUAAUAAGUCAUAACAGAAAAAAAGAAAAAAAAAAAUUGACUGGGUCGCCAUCCACGCCCCCUAGCAUUUUUGAAUAUUACCUUUUUGUGCUCGUGCUAUUAUUCAAUCCUCUAUCUAUCUAUUUUAUAAAAAGAAUUUGUAUUAUUUUCAUAUAGUAAUUUUCUAUUGUUCACGAGUGAAAUAUUACAUAAUAUUUUUAGAUUUGUCAUUAAUAUUCUCUUAUAAUAAAUUUAUUAACUUUGAAAGUAAUAUAAAAUAUUUUUUAAUAUUUAUAAAAUUUACAAAUAAGACUAGAAUCUUUUUUAAUAGGAAUUAAUAUUUUCAGAAGUAAAAAUGUUAGUUCUAUCAAAAAUUCUACGUGGACAUGAAAAUUAGACAUGAGUGUAUUUGAAUUUUAUUUAAUUGUAUUUUGACCUCAAAUGAUGGGUAAAAAUAUAAAUAGAUAAAAUUCAAAUACACUCAUGUCCAACUAAAAGAGUUCCAGUUCUAUAGGGUCCUUCUCAUAUACUUAAAUAGUAAGUGGGGUCCACUCUCAUGUGAGAGAUUAUCUUAUGGAACUAACAUUUUUACAUGUGAAAAUAUUAAUAAAAAAUAAAAUAUUCAAAACAAAAGUCGAUUGGACUUCCCUCAAAAAAUAAAAAAUUAAAAUUAAAAGUGGACUAAAAUUCCCUCAAUUACAAUUUUAUCCAAUUUCUUCGUGAUUUAGCAAUACAAAUAUUGUUAUUAAUGAUGAUUUUAGUGAUAUAAUCAUUUAUAACAUAUUUUAUUGUGUUUGUUAAAUGUAUUAUUUUUAUAUUAUUAAUAAUAUCAAAAUAAUAAGUGUUAUUAAAAAUUUAAAUAUUACUAAAUUAAGUGUAAAUUGUCAAUAAAUUAUUAUUACGACAAUUUUUUUUUAUCGCUAAUGGGAUAAAAAGUGUACCGAAAGGAUUCUAAUCCGACAUAAUUUCUCAACUGUCAGAGAACCUUAUGACGACGUCGUACCACUUUGAAAUUCUACUCCUCUUAUGACGACGUCGUACCACGUUGAAAUUCUAGUCCUUUCAUGUGAGCAACUCCUAUCGGCUAUCGACAUUCAACAACAAAGUAUACAGGAGUAUCACCGUGUAUCAUAGUUGUACGGAACACCAUAUUAACUUUUCUUUGCGAAUUUCAAAAUACCGAUUAUCAUUUUCAAUCUUUGUAGGGUUUCUAAAUUCACAACAUCAAUAAAGAAGAAGAGAAAAAUCUGUAGCAGAAUCCCUCAAAUUUCUGCCUAUUUCAUUGUGGGUAACUCUCCCAUUUCUCUCUCAUCAUUUUGUACUAUGUUUUCUCUUUCUACUUUCUUGAUCUUGCCAUUUGCCAUAUUCCUUUUUGCGUAAAGCAGUUCAGGAAAAGAAUGGAAUUUGGUAAAUUAUACCCAUUUGAUGAAAGUUCAUAUUUUUGGGGUUUUAAACAGCAAAGGGUUUAAUUUAUUUUCCUUUUAUGAUUAUGUUCUUGGGUGUUAAAACAGAAUUCUGAUUUGGGCAAUUUUUUGUUGGGUUAUAAUCGAGAGAUCAGUGCUUUUGGGGGAAGAUGGCUUGCCAGGCCAUGCAUUUUUGGACUUUUACUGGGCUAGUGGGUGCUUUUAUUGAUCUUGCUAUUGCUUAUUUCUUGCUCUGUGCAUCAAGUAUUGCCUUUUUUGCCGCAAAAUUUCUGGGUUUCUUUGGAUUGAGCCUGCCUUGUCCUUGUGAUGGACUAUUUGUUAACCCCAAUAGCAAUUACUGCUUGCACAGGCUACUAGUUGAUUUUCCUACUAUGAAAGCCUCUUCUGUUCAGUUGGCUGUUAGAAGUAAGUUCCCUUUCGAUUCCGUUCUGGCGAAAGAUCAGAAUUUGGAUUUGAGUUUGAAGUUGGUUGAAGAUAGAAACAUUUAUGGUAAUGGGUUUGUCGAGUUGGAGCGUGAGGCAUCAUGUAGCUCAAUUUCAGAUUCGAAAAGGUCAGAAAAUGUGGUUGGGAGAGAGUUGGUUCCUUUGAAUGAAAAUGGUGUUGAGUUUGGCGUGGCAAGUUGGCCGGGUAGGAAGCUUGAUAUGAAGGGUAAGGGGAUCACAAAUCACAGACAGAAGAUUGGUAUCCGUCGUCGUAGAAAAAGUAGUUUUGAUUACAGGAAAUUUUCUUCUGUAUCUUAUUAUGAUCGGCUAGGUGUUCCUCAGUCUCCAUCUAGCAUUAAUGAGGAACAUAAUGAGAUGAUCGGAGGAAGGUCAGUGCCAGUUGAUUUUGGAAUUGAAGCUAAAUGCUUUCUUGGUGAGUGUCAAUUGUUUUUUUAAAUGUGUUCUGAAUUCGAAUUCAAUAACAUUGUUUCAGUUGAGGAUUUGUUCCAUGAUUGUUAAUUAACAUCUUUAACAAUUCUCAGUCGAAUAGUUAAUAAUUUCUGCAUUUAAGCUGAGAAAAUAUGUAGAGAGGUGUUAGUGGUUCAUUUUGUAGAAAUUAUUAAUGUGUUUGAGUUGUGAAAAUAAAUACAAUUAGGAUAAAACAAAUCUCAUUUAAUGUAGCAGGUUUCCCAUGAACACUCUCCAGACUCCGAUACAUCGACAUCUAAAUAGUGAACUUGUACUACUUGUUCCAUUUAUAUCAAUGUCCAAAAGCAUCUUUCUGAUGAAAUGAUGCCUCAAAACAUUUUGUAAAUUUCUAAUUCAUUUAACAAAAGGAUUAAAGUUGCAAAACAAAUGUGAGACCAUACCCUUGUUUCUAUAAAUGAAUUUCAAUCCGUACAUCUGAAAGCUGAUAGGUAUUUAUUUUUGGCCCUCUAUUGGCCUAACAAUAUAAGCCAUUAUGCAUGAAUUGACCCUCAAGGUUAUUCCUUGGGAAACUGGGGAUAUGCAGCUCUAAGAACCAUGUUUUACUUGAAUAUACACAAAUAAAAUUUGGUUGACAUGACAUGAAUAAUAAAGUAGAAAUCAAUAAAUAAUUGAAUUCAUGUAUAUGUAAUUGUUUUUAUAAAUCUUGCCAGUGCUAAUGCUUCUUUGGGUGGUAUCUGAAUUUAGAUGCCGAGGAGGCUCCUACUGUAAUGAUUAUGGGGGAUAAAGGUUUUCAUGACGUUGACUUGAAUCAAUAUAUUGACGACUACAAGCCCAAAGAGACGAAUGAAGAGCUAAGAAGUGAUGCACCAGGUGAUCUUGCUGAUGGUGAUGAGAUGAAUAACAUUAAAGUUUUAGAGCAAGCACUUGAAGAGGAGCAUACUUCUCGUGCUGCCCUCUACCUCGAGCUUGAGAAGGAGAGGAAUGCUGCUGCUACUGCUGCAGAUGAAGCCCUGGCUAUGAUUCUGCGUCUACAAGAGGAGAAAGCAUCCAUAGAAAUGCAAGCACGACAAUAUCAGAGGAUAAUAGAAGAAAAAUCUGCAUACGAUGCGGAAGAAAUGGACAUUCUUAAAGAAAUCCUUUUGAGGAGAGAGAGGGAAAAACAUUUCUUGGAAAAGGAAGUUGAAGCAUAUAGGCAAAUGGCAAAUUCUGGAAGUGAGCAGUUAGAUGGUAAUGUUCAGUUUAUGGUGGACUACCAAAGUAGGGAGCAGGCUUCUUCACUUGAUCCGACCGAGGAUACAGAUCUGAUGUUACAUGAGCUUAGCAAAUCCAUUGAAAAGAAGGAAAUGGUUAAAACUAGAAGCUCAAAUCUUGAGGUGACAUCUAUUGGUAUACAAAAACGUUCUCUUGUCCCAUUGGGGAUUCAAGAAUGGGAUGAAGAUGAGAACUCUUCAAAUCAGCUGGACAAUGAGAACCACUUCUCUUCAAAAUGCAUUGAUGAUGGCAGCCAAGAGCUUCAGGAGAAGGAGAUGGUAACCGUGGAUUGUCAACUUGCUCGACCAAAGGAAGGGAAGAAAUUGGAGACAUACUUGCAGUCUUAUAAGCCAAGUAGUUCUCAAGAACAUAAUUUUCCUGAGAAAACAAUUCCCAUUGUUGGUGAAGAACAAGAAAAAAAUGGUUCUGCGAGUAUAUGUGAAGGCGCAACAAAGAAUGGUAAGUCUCAAAAUGAAAGUGGGAUAUAUAUACAAAAUGACGAUCAAGAUUUGGGGAAACAUGGAAAGGAUGUAACUUUGGCAAGCAAAGUUCCUUGUAACAUAAUGUUUGGCAAGGAGUUGCAUGUUCAUGAUGUACAUGUCAUUGAUGAUAACUCCAAGAUUUAUAAUGAGGUCAGUGGAAAGAAGAGCGAACUGCAGUCAGAUACUGAUACUUCAAAGGUUAUUAGUGGUGAUAUCCCACAUGAAGCUUCCGAAAUCCAGAAAAUUGAAAAUAAAAAAGAUUCCUCAAGUACUAGCAGGUUGGAUAUUGUGACAGACAUUAACAGGAGCAGUUCAGACAUGGCCAUUGGGCUGCCACCAUCGGGCUCAAGGGGAAGAUCCUUGCUCUCUGAUAUGCGUAGAAGCUCCAUGUCUGCAUUAGAUACUGAAAGGAUAAAAAUUGAUACAGAGAUUGAGUGGCUCAGAGAAAAGUUAAGGACAGUGCAAGAAGGAAGGGAGAAGCUCAACCUUUCUAUGGAUCAGGAAAAAGAAAAGUUGCAGUUGCAACUGUUGGAGGAUAUAGCCAGCCAGCUUCGAGAGAUUCGGCAGUUGACAGAGCCUGGAAAGGCUAUGUGUCAGGUGUCUUUGCCACCUCUGUCCUCUAAGGUGUGGCCUUAGAACUGUCUAUUCAUACUUUUUAUUCAAAUGAACUGCAUUACAUGCCAUUAAACGCUUAUUUGUCGUUCUUAUGUUUCAAUCAUCAUGUUUUGGGGCUACUAAUUUAGAUUUGGUUGAUUGAUACUUUUGCAUCUUUAUUCAUAGCGCAAGCUGAACUCUAUUUGCAUAUUGGUUCUUAAUUAUUUUUCAUGAUAAAAUGAAAUUUAGGGUUAAAAAAUAAUAGCCCCAUUUUUGACUCCUAGGCAAAAUUGUGAAGUUGCCCUUAAUAAUGUUACUCGGUCCACAUCAAGUAGAUUAUACCCUCUCUCUUUUUACUUUUCCGAGAAUGAAAUUUGUUCCUUUUUAUCUGUAAUUUGUAGAUUAUACAAGGAAAAAUUAGUGACUCAGUGUUCCAUAUUAUCCCUACAUUAAAUACUAAUGUGUUUCUCUUUCAUCUUUUAAGUGACUUUUUGAAGUGUUAUAUUGAGAUUUUCUAUCCAAUUUGAUCAAUCAAGAGAAAUCAUUAAUUACAUUUCUUAAUCUGUGUUUUCUCCUAAAACAUCAAUUAAAAAGGAACAAGGGGAGUACUAACUAAACUAGCUUAUAUGCUUAAAGUGCCCCCCUAACUAUUGCUAAUUGAUAUUAGGUUAAACAUUUUGGCAUGGUUUCAUGACUAGGUCUCUGAUUUGACCGUUGCUUGCUGACAGGAUGUGAAUUCCUUGCUCACUCUUAUCAUGGACUUCAGCCCAAUCUUUAUUCUUAUAGAUUUUAUCCCUAUCUUCGGUUCCAUAUGCAAGACGCCAUUCCAUGUAAAAGGGUGGUCUUAUUAUUUAUUUGUAUCUUACCAAAACAAGAUGACUCCCAUGUUGGUCUGUGUCAUCCAAAGGAAAUGAACUUCAGUAUUUGCUCUACCUUAUAUUUUUUGGACCUUAUGUCAUUUUAUUUUGUAAUAGGAUCCUCUAGAAUCAGGAUUAUCAAUUUACUCUUAAAGGGGGAAAAGAGAGAGUUAUGCCCAUCUCAUUCUUGGGUUUGGGAAGAAGGCAUAACACAAAUUCAUGGCAAGGCUUCACAUAAUCAAAAGCAAUUAUGCUAUGUUUCUUUUCAAUACUCCCUGCAUCAGCUGUAAUGCAGUGUUUUAGUCUUGUUUAUGCUAUUUACACACGCACAAACGCACCAGUUCUCGACUUUUUUUUACAUAUCCUAUUGAUCCUCUUUAAAUAUUCGUCAUUACCAAAAAUAAAGGAAAAUAAAUGAUGCACUUGGCAUGUUCUGCUCUAACAAUUCUUGAAGUACUGAUCACCAAGAUAAUGAUUUUAGGCUAUGUCAAAGAAAAGGCGGUGUCGAAGUGCAUAUUCAAACAAUAGCUCUUGAGGUAUGAAAUUUAUUGAUACUCGGAAACAUUUUUUAAAAAAUAUUAAUAAAGACUGAUAGUUGUUUUUCUGAACUUUUGCAGGUAUACACUGGGGAGAUGUUUCUGGGGUCGUCCGUACACCAAAAACAUGGGAAUCUCUAUGGGAAAGCCUUGUGAUCAAAAGAAAAGCAGCGAAAUGUGCACCAAGAUGUCGCUUUUAACAUUGCAGCCUGUAUAUGGAACUACCCGCUGCUUCAUCUCCAGGAGAUUAUAGGUUUGGAAAAUAUAUAUAUAUGUAUAUGUAUAUACCUGAGUAUAAAUAAUGGGUGCCUUUUAGGUGUAAAAAAAUCUCAUGUCGAUGUAGUCAUUUCGUAGGUACACACGCUGUUAAUAUCUUCCAACUCUAAACCGUUUCCUCUUGUUUUUGAUGUUUUGUUUUGUUAAAUGAAAGUUUAGAAUGAAAUAAUCUGCUGUAGGAGCAGUUUGUAUAUGUUAAUUAUUCUUUAUCAAAUAUCUUCCUCCAUGCAUAUACUGAUAUACAUUUAUUGAAUGAAUUUGUAGACCAGCAAAACUAUAGGUGAACUUAUACUUUUCAUAUCAACUUAGUUUUGAACUUCAUAACACCCACCAUGUUCCAUAGAUCAUGAUUCCAAGAUCUCUUCAUGUAUUGUAAAAGUAUUUUGUCGAAUUACUAUUGCGACGUAAGAUUGACUCACUACAUGUUACCAACUAUGGACUAUGGUUAUCCACGUAAUUCGAUAUAAAAAGUUACAACAAAAAAGUACAUAUAAAGUCGCAAUAAUAUAUUAUUUUCCUGAUUCUGAAGCAGUUUGCAGUAUAAAUGAGCAGCAGUCUAUUUCACCCGUAUAUAGUAGCGAGUUGUAUUUGUAUAGUAAGAAGAUGUAUUUUGAGUUGUAUUUGUAUAUGUUAUACAAAUAGUAUGAAAUUGUAACUUUUGUUAUACAAAUGCAACUCAUUUUUAUAUAAUUGUCCAAAUAAAAUAUCCAAUUUGAACUGUCUACAAUCCAAGUUCGUUAUACAAAAACAACUCAUUUUUAUUUGGGGGUGUAAGUCGAGCCGAGUUGUUCGGUGCUCGAUUCGGGAUCGACUCGAAAAUAUAAUCCAAAACUCUAAUUCGAAAUUAAUCUGAGUCGAAUUCGAUCCAUACUCGUUUUUCAUUUAAUGGUACACGAGUCGAAUUUGAGCAUGUGUUUACUUAGAUUAGGGUUCGAAUACUGUACUUUUUCAUAAACCUUGCUCGAUAUCUGCCUUAUAGAUCAGAUUAUACUCGAAUAAUAGUUUGAUCCAUACUCAAUGAUAUUUGUACCAAUCUGUGUAAUUUAUAAAGUGUAGUAUGUAAUUGUGUAAACUUGUACUUAAUUGUGAUUGUCAAUUUAUAGUCUUUGUAAUUUCUUUACAUAAAUAAAAAUGAAAUUUUUUCAUGUAUAAACAUUAGUUUAGUAAUGAAUUUAGUAUGUAAUGGAACUGAAAAUAAGGACAUCGAUAUGGAGAAGGAAUCAGCACAAACUGAAAGAGAAAGAAUCAUUAGGGUAGUGAAGUGAAUAUUGAAAAGUAAGUGUGGUGAAGUUAAAGAAUUAUGAAGAUCAUUAAGAUGUUUUCUAGUGCAGGAAGAUAAGCUUGUUUUAAGGCCUUUUGCAUUUAGUUUUGGACCUUUGGAUAGUCUUUUUUCACAAAGCUAAAGGAAUAUAAGUGAGAAAAUUGAAUUUAAAUUCCAAACACAUGUUAUUGGGGAUAACAUGCAUGACAACCAACAAAUAUUUGAUUCUUAUGGUAUGCUUUUAUGCCCAUCUUUUUGACUUGGAUAUUAUUCAGUCCACAUUGCUCAGCUGAUGAAAAGAAUAAAUGCUCACAAGUCAUAAGCAACGGAUUCUUGUACAACUCAAAAGGGUUUAGUACUAAUUCAUGUGUUUGAGCAUAUUCAAUCAUACAUAAAGGAUAAAAGGAAAGCAUCAACAAAGGAACAAAACAAUAUAUUGAUAAAAACAAAGAAAAGAAGCAACUAUAAUGCCUACAACUGAUAUAAAAUUAGAUUUUUUUUUGAACUAAAAGGCAGAAACAUCAUAUAAACACAUGAAGAUCAUAAAAUAAACCAGUUUUUUAAUUAGAACCAUAAUUCAAUGAUGUAAUCAAGAAUCAGAGACAAGAAGUGCAUCCCAAAUCAUGUCCAUAUCCAAAGAUGGCAUCCUACUUAACUGAUCAACAGCAUCAACAUCUCCUAAGACUAAUUCUUGACCCUUGUUGUUUUUCUCCAUUCCCUCGUGAGAAAUUCCCCCUUGGCUCUUCGAUUCAAUCCGGCAUUCUUUGCUUUCUAUCGAGUCAGUAGUCUUCUUACUCGCGGACAUUCCUUGCAGUUUAGCUUCAACAAGCGACGCUGUUGAGCCAUUUAAAGAUCUGGCCUUAAGUUGAUGCUUCUGGUCUGGAAAAUUCAAAUUUGCAUAAUCUCCCCUAAGCAAAUAUGCAGCUGUAUCAUAAGCAAAAGCAGCCUCCUCUGCAGUGUCAAAAGUCCCUAGCCAGACCCUUGUCCUGUUUCUUGGUAACCUUAUUUCCGCAACCCAUUUUCCCCAAUGCCUUUGCCUCACUCCCCUAAACAGCUUCGCGGGUGGCGAUAAAGAAGCCUUAUGGAUUUGUGUAGCUGUAUAUUUCAUAGGCUGAGUUUUUGUGGCACCAAGCCCUUUGGCUGGACAAUUAAUAUUGGUUUUGAGCCGCUCAGAGCCUUGCGGAGGCUGACAUCGGCUCUGUUGAGGGGUUUUGGUUAGUGAUUGGGAUGCUUGUUUGGAUGUAUUUAAAACCGAGGGGUGGUUCAAAAAUAGGCUUAAAUUUGGGGGUUUCAUUGAAUUUGAUGAUAAAGAAGUUGGUUUUGAGGCAUGGGAUUGGUUUAGUUCAGGAAAAGAUUCAAGAAAAUUAAGAGGAAUGCAGCUUCCUUUCACUUUAUGAUCAUCAUCAUCACUAGCCAAAACAAACAUCUCUUCUUUGGCUAAUUCCAAAUUAGAAGCCGCAUCAUCCAAAGAUGACCGUCUAGAUUCAGAACUGGAAAACAAUCUUUCGGCGUUCCAAACAUUGGGAUACGCAAAAAUUUGUGAUUCUUCUUGAAAAUAACAAGGUGACAUUAAUUCCUUGUGGAGAAAGGUUUCCAUCUUAGGAAACUUAUUUUCCAUGAUAAAAGAGAAUUAGAGGGAGAAAUGAGCUAGCUAGCUAGCUAGCUAGGCUGGCAGUGGUACAAAAUGGUUGCAAUACUAGCUUUAUAUAUUUAGUAUUUGUAACCUAAAAUAUGCUAGGCUCAUAAUUUGGAGACUUGAUUAUAAAAAUGAGAGCACAUAUAUAAAACCGUCGUCUUAACUUUUAACGACGGACAACAUAUAGCUACAGAUCGAACCGUCGUCUGAUCCGUCGCUAAAAAGAGUAUGCAAGGUAUGUUAUAUAAAUGGUAUGUUGUUGAUACUAUAUAUAUAUAUAUAUAUAUAUAUAUAUGUAUAUAUUGCAUAAGCUAUUCGUGCUCCCCAUUAAUUCAUUCUUGGGAUGGCCAAUCGAAACUUGACAACUCAUCAUGCCUUCUUGGCUUCCCUUUCUUUUAUUUAUUGGUACGUAUAAUAACUAAACUACUUAAUUAAUCAUAUUAAAAAAGACAUUACUCAGGUUUGAUUACAAAAUUAUAAGCUAAAAUUUAUAGUCAUUUGAUUUAAGGCUACAUCACCCUUCAAAACAACAAGUAUGACUAUUGAUUAUUGUUUGAUCGGGAACUGCUGAGCUCCAGCAGACCCUCAGUUAUACGUAUAAUUACUAAACUACUUAAAAAAUAAUCAUAUAAAAAAAGCCAUUUAAUUAGGGAAAUGCAUUAGCCAUUAGUCAAUAUUUGAUUCAAGGUUAUGUUACCCUUCAAGAGAUGGCCCAUAAUAUAAUAAUGAUUGGGACCCAUAUAUAAUUUGUUAUAAAUAUUAUCAUUAAUUAAUAUAUAUUUUGAUUAGCUUUAUUAAAAAAGAGUCUUGGUAAAGGUUUAAAAAAAAUGAAUUUAGUUAAACAAGUUCAGUAAAUUAUUAAUUAAUGGUCCAAAUUCAUGAGUAGAGAGGUAUAAAUUAUUAUUUGGCUUUUUCUCUGGCAUCCCUCUGCUGCUCUACUUGUCUUUUGAGAUGGAUUUAGAGACACUUUACCAACUCAUCAACUUAAACCAUAAUGGCUUAGCUAAAAAGUAGUAAAUAGGAAGAUAAUUUGAGCCACAAAUGAUUAGUUUACUCAUUGUUGGGUAGUGUCUGUUUGCAGUCUUCUUAAGCUACCUCUCAUAAAAAGAAUUAAAAUUAUGGGAAGUGAUAUUUUCGCAUGUAUUUUUGAUAUUUUCACUAUUAAUAAUAGUUAAAAGAAUCAUGUAAAAAUAUUUAAAAAUAUAUGUAAAAAUAAUGCUCUCCUAAAAUUAUAUAUUGACAAAUGAUAUCAAUAAGAAUAAGGGUAGAAUUCUAAAUCAAGUGGUAUCAGACCCUACAUAAAAAAAAAUAGAUCUUCUCUUGCACGAAAGUUAUCAAAUAUCAAGUUUAAGUAGAGGGAGGAAAAAUGUAUAAUAGAAUAUAGAGGAUGAGCAAGUGGAGGGUUAGAGGGAUUUUUCUUUCUUCCCCCCNNNNNNNNNNNNNNNNNNNNNNNNNNNNNNNNNNNNNNNNNNNNNNNNNNNNNNNNNNNNNNNNNNNNNNNNNNNNNNNNNNNNNNNNNNNNNNNNNNNNCAAGCAGUAACUAAUUGACAAAUUAUAUUCCUUUUGAGAAAGAGAAGGUGAUGGUGUCUUAUGUCACGUCACGCGAUAAGAGAGAUAAACACAGUAUUAUUUAAAGGUUAAUAUUUUUACCGCAAAUAGUACAGUACUUAAGAAUUGAACAUUUGUACUGAAAAAGUAAUUUCAACAGUACUAAAAAUAUCAUUUCUCUUAUUUAUUACCUUUGUAUCCAAUAUUUUUUUACUGUAUAUAUGAAUAAGAGAAUUUUGUUACAAAUUUUCAACUUUAGGAGAUGUCAUUCUCCUCAACUUUCACUAACACCCACAAAGUCUUUCAAAUAAAAAUACAAAUGAAGCCUAAUAAAUAAUUAGUUAACAUUAGCCCAGCUUAAGCUGACUAUAAAAUUAUAAUAAUGCUACUAUUACAUAAAAAUAUCACAUAUUGCAUGGGUGGUAUUCAUGAAUUUAUUGUUGAGUUAAGUGGAUCAUGUCAACAAUAAAUUCAUGGGUGUCACCCCAUGCAUGCAGUAUGUGAGCAUUGUGUGAUACGUUUAUGUGAUAGUAGUAUUAUUUAUAAAAUUACUAAGCAAAUAAAUAAGUAAUUAAAUAAAUAAAAAAAACCACUUCUUCAUUAUCAUUUCCCGACUCUAGUUUACCAUAGCUGCUACAACAUCUGCCUAGUUCACUUUUAUUCUCUCGCAUAUUCAUACUUUCUAUUUUUCUCAAAAAGAGUCUCAUUUGUAUAUUCAAAAACUGUUCCACUAAGAGUAUUCUUUUAAUUGAUAUUGUAUAAUAAAACGAUACAAUAUUCUCAAAUUUGUCAUAAUAAUUUUAUUAUCAUUUUACCACUAUUUAACUAACAAAUAAUUAUUUUUACGGGUAAAAAAUAAAACACAAAUACAUCCUUAAUAUUUUUAAAAUUUAGAAAUGAAACUCUUUUAUAAAAACAAAUGGAGCAUCAGCUAUCCUAAAGAUGCAUAAUAUUCUAAUACGACCCACACAAAGUUAGGAUAGGAAAAACCACAAAAGAAAGAGUCUAAUAGAUGAAAAAGAACAAAUUAGAAUCAUUCUUCAUAAGAUGAUUAUAAUUAUCUAUACACCUAUGUCUGUAUCUAUCUAUAUUAGGGACCUAUGUCAAUAAUUAUCUUAUUUUCUCUCUUACUUACUAUCCCUAUUUUCUCAUCCAUAUUUUAAAUAUUUUUUUUUAAUUGCACACACGGUCUAUGCCACAUAGACAUACCAUACACUUUUUAAUAUUUUAGUGUUGUGACAAAUUAUAAUUACUAGUCAUAUAUAUUAAUUAUAUAUAUAUAAAAAAGUGUAUGGUAUCACAUACAUACUGUGGAUCCCCGUCUAAUAUAAAAAUGAUCACAUAAUGCUCACAUACACACACAUGCAUAUUGUGAGUCCUCGUCUGACAUGUGGAGCCCGUAGUAUACAUGUAUGUGUAUGUGUAUGUGUAUGUGAGUAUUAUGCUACCUUUUUUAUGUGAUAGUAGCAUUAUUUUUAAAACAAAACAUGAUUAUCAAUGACAUUAUAGGAUUAUCAUAUGAGUAAUUCCUACUUUUAUAAUUAUAAGUAGAAAAGUCAAAAUACUAAUACUUAAAUCCCCAGUUAGGUGUAAGAAAGCAAAAAUGCUUGUUAAAAAAAACAAUGACAAAAAAGAGCACGCAGACCGAUAAGGUAGUUUCAAAUGUCGCGAUCUUUGUGACAAAUCAUGAGCUUUAGGUAUACUCCAUCUGUUCUUAAAAGAUUGUCGUUUAAGGUUAAUGCACACAGAUUAAAGAAUAUAAUUAAUACCUAACAAAAAUACUAUACUAUCCUUAUUAAUUGUCUCAUCCAAUUAUUCUCUUCCCAAUAUUUCUUAUUCAAUUCAACCAAUUACUACUUGAAAGAAGGGAAGAAAUCUUUAAAUAGGAGAAAACUUUAAAUACGGGUAAAGUAGGGGGAAAAUAGCUAAUAUGUAUUGAUAAAUUCAAAACGACAAUCUUUUUGGAACAAAAAUUACUUCUUAAAACGACAAUCUUUUAGGAACGGAGGGAGUAUUUAUUUAUCAACGUUUGCGACGGUAGUGUUUACUGUUUAGUGCGUUUAGAUGUCUAAGCGCACCGCACCAAUUUUGUGCGAUAAUGAAUGUAGCCGCAACACAGCUAGCUAUACGUGCACACAUAUAUGAUAUACGUAGUUAUUGCUCGUUUACCCAUUUAUGAAGUAUUUGAAGAUUUAAAUAUAUUUUAGAAUCUAGCUAGUUCGUCUAUAAGUAAUUUAUAUUAAACACAACUUAGUUAACUCAUAAACAAAAUAUUCCCCUUUUGACAUAUGAACUAACUAGUCAUAGGAUAAGUUUGUUUAGUUCAACCUCCAAAUGACUUCUUAAUAUAACAUGUAGAAUAUAUAUUAACAAAAGCCAACUGCAACAACUCUAUCAAAGGUGUUUUAAGAACUUGUUUAAUUCAUUGACUUGUUUUUUUAUGCAAUUUUUAUUUGUCCAGCAUUCUAAUGACCGAGGACCACUAAGAGGUUAAUGUCUGAUGAAUGAUGAUCAUGGUAAGACUAAGACAUAUAUAGUAUAUCAAGAAGCUUGAGAAAUUUUAAUUUCACAAACUUUAUACUAGCUUGAAUUGUUUGUUUUUUCACACCUUUCUAUAAUCUCAUAAAAUAAAUUACACACCUACCGCAUUUUGGCUAUUUCGGAUUCAUUACUGUUUGGUUAAAAAGGCCGUUUGGAAGUUCAAAUUCACUCUAAAAUCUCGUAUAUUUUAAAACAGUUUAUUUCAAACACAACUUAUUUAAUUCACAAGUAAAGUUUGGGCUCAACCUGAUUACGUGUUCCAUUGUUCACCAUUUUCAUUUUUGUCGGAAGAGAAAUGUACCCUAGCAAUUAGGGGUAUAAGCCGAUCGGAGUUGUUCGGUGCUCAACUCAAAAAUAUGAUCCAAAACUCGAAUUCGAAAUUAAUCCGAGUCAAAUCUGAUUCAUACUCAUUUUUUAUUUACUGAUACACAAGUCGAAUUCGAGCAUAGCAUUAUUCGCUUAGAUUAGGGUUCGAGUACUACACUUUUUCAUGAGCCAUACUCGAUACCUACUCGAUGAAUCAUACUCAAAUACUGAUUUGAUCCAUACUCGAAGCUAAAUAUGUGAUAUUUGCAGGGGCGAAACUAGCAUAGGGCUGGAGGGGGCCACGCCCCCCCCCAAGGUUUGAAAAAUUUAUAAGGUCCACCCCAAGGUUGGAAAAAUUAAAUUUAUUAUAAUUCUAAGUUUGUAUAAUUGGAGCAUAAUAUUGUAUGUGUUAUUCCAAUUGAAUGAUACAUUUGUAUCCAGGUAACCAACUUAAACCCUUAUUUAAUUUUUUUUAUUCUUUGUUUAUUUUAUGAAACUUGAUAUUUUACUUUUUAAAAGUUUAACGAGUGAUUAUAUUCAAUUUGUUUUCCGGUAACCAACUAAAACCUUACUUAUUUGAUUGUAAGUUUAUGAAAAUUUUAUUAUUAAAAAGUUCAAUAAAUGGGCCAAUAAUAUUGAUUAAGUCAUUCUUGUAGUGUAGUUAAUUGAAUUUUUUAUUUUUUGUUUAAUUAGAAUCAUGGGAAAAUCAAAUAUUAUUGAUUCAUUUUUCAAGAGAAAGCAAUCAAAUCAUGUUGACAUAUCUAUGCUUACCCCUGAGCCUAAUGUUAAAACAUCUCUGCCUACUUCUGAACAAGAACAACGUGAAUUGAAGGUAAAGAAUGAGAUAUUAAUUAUUUGGAACGUGAUCCUAAAAAACGUAUCAAAAUAUGGAAAUGUUGUGGUGUGAUUGAAGUUCUUUUUCUGAAUAUAUAUUAUGUUGUUAAAAAAAAAUUUGGCCCCCCCAAAAACAAAUCCUGGUUUCGCCCCUGGAUAUUUGUACCCAACUUUUGUAAUUUAUAGUGUAGUAUGUAAUUAUGUAAGUUUGUACUUAAAUAAAUCAAUGAAUUGUGAUUAUAAAUUUGUAUUACAUUCUUUGUAAUUUCUUUACAUAAAUAUAACUAAAAAAAAUCAUGUAUAAACAUUAGUUUAGUAAUCAAUUUAGUAUGUCGUAAGUGAAACAGUUCAUAUUCGAAACUCGUUUUUAAGACUCAUGAGUUGAUUUUGUAAACGAGUCGAGUACUUACGAGCCGAAUAGGUCCAAGUAAUGAUCUGAGUCGAAUUUAGCGCAAAAUUAAAAAUCCCUCAUCGAAUCUGAGUCAAAUUCGAGCUUAAUUUUUAAAGUCGAGUCGAAUCGAAUUUGAACGCGAGAAUAUUCGUUGAGAUUCGACUCGUUUACACCCAUACUAGCAACAUCUAAAGUUAUGGCAUUACAACUACAAGGAACACAUUUUGGCAGGUUUUGAGCAUUUAUUCUUAUAGAUUUUGGGCUCAUGGUUUCCAACUUGUAAUGUGUUAAGUUAAUAACCUCAAACUCAUUAGUGUUUUAGAAGAAUUAAUGGGAAAAUGGAUAAUAGGUGUUUUGUUGGUAUUUAGUAAAUAUUAAACUUGGUAAUUUCAAUUUUUUUAAAGCAAUUUUUUUUACAAACAAUUUGAAAGCUUUAGGAAACUUCCUGAGUAAUACAUGAAACAGUAGUAGGAGGAUCUGAUAGAUUAAUUGACCCUUUCACAAUAAUAACAGGUUCUAUUUUUAGGUAAAAUAGGAAAGAAUUUUCCAUUUCUUAAUAUUCAUUCUGUAUAAUAUAAAUGAUGACUAAAUAGUUGGUGCUGAUAUCAGAUCACAGCACAUAGCAUCAAGUUUUCAACUUGUAAACUCUCUAUUUAAGAACAGACUCCAAAAUAAGAGUGCAACUCAGCUAUUCAGCACAUGAACAAGAAUCUCCCCAAACAAGUUAAUACAAUAAUUUGUACCAACUUCACAACUACCUGAGUUCUCAGCUUUUCCAAAAUGAGGAAGGACUAAAGAAAUAUUUUAAUCCAAAUUUCUUAAAUGAAAUAAAAUCAUAAAAAGACUAAAAAUUAAAUAAAAUCAAGCAAACCAGGCUUUUGCUAGAUAACAGCCAGAUCUCAACAUCAUGCCUAUGAAAAGUUGAAAACCCACCCUCAUUUCGACCCCCACUCCCCAGGAAAAAACAAUGCAAGAACAUGAAGCCAGUAAAUUCUUUACAAAAAAUCUGCAAUUGCUCUACAAAAACUUGUAGCUUCAAUAAAAUUUUGAUUAUGCAGUGUUACAGAGAACAUGUUCAUGCACAAGAAUGUAUGAAGACAUUGAACUUCUUACUUUUUUAUACAAGUGAUAUAAUCAUCGAUUAAACUUUUCAAAAGGAAUCCAUAGUGAAGCUGCAAAUUUACAGAACUGAUGUUAUCUUGCUCAUCGAUUUAAGCACAGUUAUACCUUAACGGACAACUACUGCCACAAAAGUGAGUGAUAAUGUAGCCCCUCACUAGGGUCUCUCCUAUCUCUCUCCUGACUUGAGCCAUUACAAUAAUUGAAUCAAUAUUCCAAUACUUCAAAUCUUUAACCCAGAGUUACCAUAUACUCUCAUAACACCUAACGAACUGCAUAUUGAUACUUGCGUAUCCAACCAGGGUACUCUUACGUACCAAUACUUUAAAUUUAGCAUACAGAAAAAUUUCUUCGUUGUUUAACUAUUAUUGCACAAAUAUCAAUAUUACAACUUAGUAUUAGAUACUCAAACAUUACAUAUAUACUAAAAUAUUUAUAUAACAAUCAAUCAACUUGUUGAUUCAAUUAAAAAUCUUUUAUAAAACUUUGGUUUAUUACAUUAAGAUUCUAAGAGAGUUCCCAACUAUAAGAACUUAUAUAAAAAUACCCUAGCGUAUCACGUUUUAGCUAUGUAGUGUACCGCGUAAUCCUAUUCGUACAGCGUAUCGAAACGUACCACGUUUCGGGUAACAUUGUUUUAACCUAGUAGUCCAUCAUACAACAGUGCAUAAUAAAGGCUUUCAGACUAAAAUCUUCUGUCAAAUCUGAAUUAAAGCAUUGCCAUAAUAAAAUCCCAGCCUAGUUAAUUACACGGGUAUUGAAUAUUAGUGUGGCUUAUGCUUUCAAGUCACCUCUGAGACCUGUACUCAAUGAAUAAGACCCUUGCUGGACCAGAGUUCAAUUUGAAACCGUUGAAUGUCAUGGCUAUCAGCAGCAAAACCUUCACCAGCUUACAUAAAGCAUCAUCUCUCUUAAUCUCUCAAAGCCAACACUAACAUGGUGAAAAAUAAGCAUCUAUAAAUGACAAUAGCUAUUUGCAUAACCAAGCUGCAUAUCACGCAAUAGUUAAUGUCAAUAUCCUCAUUUUCCUAACCAAAGUAAAUAAUAUUAACAAAAUGAUUCACCUACAGCUUAAUUCUAGAGAGACAAAAUAGCACAUCUGGUGAGGAAUGCAGUCAUAGAUUUAGUUAUUCUUUCAUGGGUAAUUUUGGCCCCAAGUAUGAGGAAUGCAUCCCACAGAUUUAGUUAUUUAUUCUUUAGAUUAUUCAAUUGGAUUGAAACUGAUGUCAUUACAUAUUUUAUCAAUAAUUGGGGAUUUAGGGUGAUUUAUAGUAGUUAGGGAUUUUAAUCAUUAGUUGCUAAUGAAGUUUCCUAAUCCUUUAAGUUUUGGUUUUCCAAUUUGGGCUUUCUAAUCCAUUGAGAUUUAUAUUUUCCUCUCCAUAAUGGAUUAGAGUUUUGUUUCUCUUAAAUAGUAAUGUAAUCCUCGCAAAUUCCUUUAAAAUAGCUUAUGAAAUAUUGGAAGCUUGUAAAUUGAAAACGGUAUCAAUCUCUUGCCAGCGAACUUAAUGAAUAUCAGUGGAGUUAACUCAAAGAAUCAUGCAGGACACAGAUAGGCGUCAACCUGUUUUGGAUGUGAUCAACAAACCCUAGUGUUUAGGUGUGAAACCUAAACCUUGUUGCAUUUUCUUUGUCCUACAUCAAAUCUCUGCAUUUUAGCAUUUUACAAAAAGACUCACCCGCCUAACUAUCCUCAUUUCUCUUCACUUCCUAUAAACGUUUCGACAUUACAUGGCAUGACCAAACAAUUACAAGUUUUCAGCCAUUACACGAGGAGCAUGCUAAGCAUAUAUAAUGUGUUAUGAUAUGAAAUAAAAGAAAUCAGGAAUUUAAAAUGUAAGACCAUGAAGCUUUAAAUAAUGAUGGCAAGGAUGGCCAUACAAUCAUCAAAUCACACAAGUCCCUAUCAUAAAUUUAUCUUUAGUUCAUUUUGGUAAUUUAUUAAUACAUUAUCAUUGUCUACAGCCUAGAUAUCAGAAGAUACAUUUCUUAAGGAAACAAUCAAUUAAGCAUCAAGCCUAAAGUUAGGUACUUUGAAGGAUUUUAUUCUUGUAAUUACUUGUACCUUCUAUUCCUGUAACUGAUUAAAUCUUUCGUCAGGGCAAGAUCGUUAAAACUACAAAUUUCCAACAAAAUAUCCCAAAAUUGAAUAUGCUUCUCCUCGAAUCAUUUUUAUAUUCUGCGAGAACCUAAAAAUCUGAGAAUGUAAAAGUCUUUGAGGUAGUAAUGCAACGACAUAAUACAUUUGAAAACACAUUCAAAAUUUUCCCAACUCCUGUUUCUUAAGGAGUGAAAAUAAAAGAUGAAACAGAGUCGCAUCAAUCUGGCUACAAUUCUCCAACAAAUCAAUGCUUAAUAAUAAUAAGUAUUAAUAAUUGCUAAGCAUUUUCUAAUUGUAUAAGAAUUCCGAGCAUGCUAAAACAGCUUCAUAAGAUCUCAACCAAAAAACAAGUCAUCAAGGAAGUCAAACAAGUUCAACUAAAUCCAAUUUGACAUCAUAACAGAAGCAAUUCAAUUUAGUAACAAAAUCAUGUGAUAAAUUAACCAUAUGACUCAAAACAGAUAAAUACAUAGUUGGCUAUCUAGACAUAAUUCCUCAUAAUUUAAAUUCAUAUGUUAACAGAAAAUUCAUAUUCAUAACAACAGAUGACAAAUACAUCUGAAAAAAAAAAACUAUUAUGUCCAAAUGAUUACCUGAAUUAAAAUUAAGACUGUUGAAGGACAAUCUAAACCAAACACACAAGACUCUUUCAUCUUUACUCUUUCAUCACAUCAAAGUAUUAAACAAAAGAUUCAUAAAAUUCAUGAAACCCGUUAAAAUAUUAUUAUAAUUCCAUCAUUUCUUGGUGCUUUUACCUCCAGCAUCCCCACUACCCCCUGCGGCACCUGCUGCCUUCUUUGCCUGUUUUUCCUGAAGUGCUUUUGCAUCCCUGUAUGUACACAAAGACAUCCACCAAGAUUAAAACUAAAAAAUAUUGAAUUUGUUUUUUGUGGGGUUUGGUGGAAAGGUUUUCAUAUGCUUAUAAAUAUACUUAUUCAUAACCAAGGUUUAAGAACUUAAAUUAAAAGAUUAACAAUGAAAAAAUUGAAUUUUUUUGGUGGGGUUUGUGGGAAAGGUAUUCAUAUGCUUACACGUAUACUCAUACGCAUAUAUUAACCAAGGUUAAAGAGCUUAAAAUACAAUAUUAACAAUAAAAAAUGAAUUUUUAUGGGGGAAAUCAGCAAAAUCACACAAGUCGCAUAUAAACAUACCUUUCACGGCGUUGUUCAGGGGUCAACCCAUCGUCUUUCUUAUUUUUGCCACCGUUUCGGGCAUUAGCUCUUUCACGAUCCUUCUCUCUCUGGUUACCGCGUUAGAUCCAGUAAUUAAAGAAAUCCCAAUAUAGUCAUGAAUAAUAUAUAUACAUAUACAAGUCUAUAUUGAUACAUUGAAGCAGUAAAAUUAUGUAAAUUGAAGAUAAUGGAAUUGAGAAUCAAGCACCGAAAGCAAUUAAACUUAGAUCAAACAAAUAAUUAAACAAUCACAAGCAUGACAAUACUUGGACUGAAAUUAGGGUUUCAAAUUGAAAUACAAAUUUCGAAGGAUAUGAGUCAUCUUGAAGCAGAUGAAAGCCUCAAGUUAACAAAGAAAUCUCGGACAGAGAAGUAUGCGGUUGGAGUUUGAGGAGGGAGGAGAAGAAGCGAAUAGAAUAAAUAUUAGGGGGAGAAAUUGAAUUAACACUUUUGGGCCUUCGGCCCUUGAAAUCUGACUUUAUUGGGGCAUGUGAGAAUUGAGAUUGGCCUAUUAUUU